UCGCCCAGAGUCAGCCUCAGGGCACGGCGCGCGCGUGCGGGUGAGAGGCCGCAGAGGUCCACGUCACGUGACAAGGGAGAAGGAAGUCGCACCUGCAAAGAAGAUGGGAUUGAAAGCAGGGCCUCCCCAGAUGAUCUUAAACUCCGAGAUGGUUCAUAGAGGGAGAUACGUUCGGAGAGCAGUUCUAGGUCAAGAUACCAGAAACCAUCUCAGUUCCUGGUACAGCCUCAUCUGAAUGUCUGCAACUUCCUCACCCUUACCGUAAGACCAGAUGCAAAUUACAUGGCUCAAAGGCAGUCACUUGUCUUUCUUUCCUCUGCUCUGAUUUGUUUAACACAUUUUCCAACAAAGGGUUAUGAAGAAAUCAAAUGCCAGUCACCUUUGAAAUGGACUAAUAAAUGAAGGUACAUGAACAUA